UACGUAGGGAGCAAGCGUUGUCCGGAAUCAUUGGGCGUAAAGCGCGCGUAGGUGGCCACAUAAGUCCGUUGUGAAAGUCAAAGGCUCAACCUUUGAAUGUCAGUGGAUACUGCCGGGCUAGAGUCCGGAAGAGGCGAGUGGAACUCCUGGUGUAGCGGUGGAAUGCGCAGAUAUCAGGAAGAACACCGACGGCGAAGGCAGCUCGCUGGGACGGUACUGACGCUGAGGCGCGAAAGCGUGGGGAGCGAACAGG
rnacentral:rRNA from 1 species